CCGAGAAGAAGGAUGAGACGACGCUCCUCCGCCGCCGCCGCCUACCUCAUUUCAAAAUCCACCUCGCCUUCUUCUUUUGGUUGGGUUUUCGAGCUAGCUAGGCGCGACAUGGCGACGAUCGUACGCGACAUCAUGGGAAUCGCAGGCAAUGCCGUCUCCCUCGGUUUGUUCCUCUCCCGUGU